UGCGCCUGCAGUUGACCAACAUUGACGUGGGCGGUUUGCUGGCGCUUCUGGACCCCGCCAACUGGACCGUCGAGGGCGCCCUGGACGCUGUGAUGGGGUUCUUUCAGCAGUCCCAGAUCAUCGUGAAACCGACUGACUUUGCCGGUUCUGCGGCGCCACUCGCGCUUGUCGUCGGCAGCAUCAAGACGUCGAUCUUCGAUGUGGCCGCCCCAAUUCUGGAGGACGCCGAACUGCAGUGGGAUUUGCGGCGUUGGCUGACCGGAGAUCCUGAACCGUGGCCCGGCGCCGGAACAUGGUGGAUACGCAACGGAACCCUGUUCGUCGGCAUUGUCGACAAGUCCGGGUUCCGUAGCGGCACCAGUCUCGGCGGUAACCUGCUGACUGGUUUGACACGGACGAUCGCCGACGUGACGCCGGGAAACGUCGAAGACGCCUACGACCUGUUCACGGGUGCUUCGAUAGACGAACCCGGUUACCGCCUGCCCGGGUUCUUGAGAACAAUCGCACCGCACCCCUACGUGGUGUAUCGGGACGGCGACAUCACCGGCAUCCAAACCU
rnacentral:misc_RNA from 1 species